AGGCCGGAGAGGCGGGCCCCGCCCAGCGCGGGCCGCUGGCUGUCAGUGUUGCCGCGCCCAGCGGCAGGUCCCCGCGGUCGCAGCGUCCCCGCCUGCCCGCCGCGCUAAGCCCAGCGGGCGGCCAGGUGUCCUGCGGGCGGCGUCCCCGCGCUACCAGCCGCCUCCCCACGGCGGGCAGCGGGCGCGUGUGCGCUGGUGUGCGUUUCGGGGAUAGUUUCCUCCCCACGCCCUGCGGGGUUUCUCCUCUGCCCUCCCUGCUUCGGCUCCUGCUGCCUGAACCAUGUCCGCAAGGGUUCAGCAGUUCAAGUGAGAUCUUGUCAUGGUUUCCAGUGUCUACUAAAGCCUACUAAGUGAUUAAUUUCAGGUAACGCUCUUCCUAAAUUUUGAGAAUAUGUAAAGAAAGCAAUCGCAAAAUAUGGACAGCAGUUACCAAUAUCACUCAUGUCCUCUUUCUACUUCAUUCUAUGUAUCAUGGCUAUUAAUUUUCUACAACUUGGCCUUGAUUGUAUGGCUUCCCUAUCAAAAGCUUCCAUGACCCCCAUUACCUCUUGAAUUAUCUUUCGAUUCCUCCACUACUGUAUUCAAGGCUCCUUUGUGAUAACUACCAGAAUGUUUUAACUUUUUGGAGGGAAGGGAUGAAUUUAUUGGGCAUGCCUAAGCGUUGAGCAAAGGAGAGAGACAGGCACGCACAGCAGAAAACGACUUUCAGAUUAAUUAAUUUUCUGUAGCUUGAUUGCAUGAUUGCAGUGGCCUCCUUAUUGCUUCUUGAAUUGCCUUCAGAUUCUUCUCACAUGGCAUUCAAGGCUCUUCGUGACCUGGAUAGCCCACUUCACUUUUCUGUCUCUGAAACCUUUGGUUAGGUCAAGCUAGACUGUUCAUCUUUUCCAAACACAACUAUGCUUUUGACUCUGUUUCCACCUGGAAUGCCCUUUUUUUUUUUUUUUUUACCAGUUUCUGACAAAAUGGUGACUGUUUUUUUAAGGUCCAUUUUAUAUGAUAUGAAGACUUUUCUUUUGAGAGAGACCUCCUCUGCUUUUUUGGUCUCCUGAGUAACAAUCUUCCUUGCAUUAUGAAGAUUUAUGUGCUUAUUUUAAUUGUAUUCCUUGUAGUUAGAAAGGAAACUUUUUUUUUUUAAGUAGAUUCCACAUCCAGCAUGGAGCCCAUUGUGGGGCUUGAACUCAUGGCCCUGAGAUCAAGACCUGCACUGAAAUCGAGAGUUGAACACUUAACCGACUAAGCAACCCCGGUGCUCCUAG
rnacentral:lncRNA from 1 species